rnacentral:rRNA from 1 species
GAAACUGGGUCUAAUACCGGAUGCGACUACUGCCCGCAUGGGCUGGUGGUGGAAAGGGUUAUGUACUGGUCUUAGAUGGGCUCACGGCCUAUCAGCUGGUUGGUGGGGUAAUGGCCUACCAAGGCGACGACGGGUAGCCGGCCUGAGAGGGUGACCGGCCACACUGGGACUGAGACACGGCCCAGACUCCCGGGAGGCAGCAGUGGGGAAUAUUGCACAAUGGGCGCAAGCCUGAUAGCGACGCCGCGUGAGGGAUGACGGCCUUCGGGUUGUAAACCUCUUUCCAGGGAAGAAGCGGAAGUGACGGUACCUGCAGAAGAAGCGCCGGCUAAACUUCCAGCAGUAAUACGUAGGGCGCAACGUGUCCGAAUAUUGGCGUAAGACUC